rfam:Fusobacterium nucleatum subsp. nucleatum ATCC 25586, complete genome.
CUUGGUGAGUAUAGCUAUGGGGGUACACCUAGUUACAUUCCGAACCUAGAAGUUAAGCCCAUAUACGCUGAUGGUACUUGGCUGGAAGCGGCCAGGGAGAGUAUGGAUUUGCCAAGC